UACGUAGGUGGCAAGCGUUGUCCGGAAUUAUUGGGCGUAAAGCGCGCGCAGGCGGUCCUUUAAGUCUGAUGUGAAGGCCCACGGCUCAACCGUGGAGGGUCAUUGGAAACUGGAGGACUUGAGUACAGAAGAGGAAAGCGGAAUUCCACGUGUAGCGGUGAAAUGCGUAGAGAUGUGGAGGAACACCAGUGGCGAAGGCGGCUUUCUGGUCUGUAACUGACGCUGAGGCGCGAAAGCGUGGGGAGCAAACAGG
rnacentral:rRNA from 1 species